GUCUGGCUGGCUCAAUCGGUAGAGCAUAUGACUCCUGAUCUCAGAGUCAUGAGUUCAAGCCCCAUGUUGGGUG
rnacentral:tRNA from 1 species